rnacentral:rRNA from 1 species
UACGGGGGGGGCAAGCGUUGUUCGGAAUUACUGGGCGUAAAGGGUUCGUAGGUGGCUUGCUCAGUCAGACGUGAAAUCCCUCAGCUUAACUGGGGAACUGCGUCUGAUACUAGCGAGCUUGAGUGCAGGAGAGGAACGCGGAAUUCCAGGUGUAGCGGUGAAAUGCGUAGAUAUCUGGAGGAACACCGGUGGCGAAGGCGGCGUUCUGGACUGCAACUGACACUGAGGCGCGAAAGCUAGGGGAGCAAACGGG